rfam:Microsporum canis CBS 113480 supercont1.6 genomic scaffold, whole genome shotgun sequence.
UCCUUGAUGGUCUAGUGGUCAUGAUUUCCGCUUGUCAAUUCUUUACUUUGAGGAUAACAAGCGCGGGAGACCGGGGUUCGAUUCCCCGUCAGGGAG